CUACGUGCCAGCAGCCGCGGUAAUACGUAGGUGGCAAGUGUUGUCCGGAAUUAUUGGGCGUAAAGCGCGCGCAGGCGGAUUGGUCAGUCUGUCUUAAAAGUUCGGGGCUUAACCCCGUGAUGGGAUGGAAACUGCCAAUCUAGAGUAUCGGAGAGGAAAGUGGAAUUCCUAGUGUAGCGGUGAAAUGCGUAGAUAUUAGGAAGAACACCAGUGGCGAAGGCGACUUUCUGGACGAAAACUGACGCUGAGGCGCGAAAGCCAGGGGAGCGAACGGGAUUAGAUACCCCGGUAGUCCUGGCCGUAAACGAUGGGUACUAGGUGUAGGAGGUAUCGACCCCUUYUGKGCCGGAGUUAACGCAAUAAGUACCCCGCCUGGGGAGUACGACCGCAAGGUUGAAACUCAAAGGAAUUGACGGGGGCCCGCACAAGCGGUGGAGUAUGUGGUUUAAUUCGACGCAACGCGAAGAACCUUACCAGGUCUUGACAU
rnacentral:rRNA from 1 species